AAGGUGGACGAAGAUGAUCUGAUCUCACAAAUCCUUGCGGGGCUGGACAACAACUAUAAUCCUUCUGUCUUUGCCAUCUCUGCA
rfam:Triticum aestivum genome assembly, contig: Triticum_aestivum_CS42_TGACv1_scaffold_542796_6DS